UGCUCCAGAAUAGCUCUUGGAAACGGGUGGUAAUGCUGGAUGCUCCAACUUGACGCAUGUCUUGUUGGGAAAGUGUUUAGUGGCAUGGGAUGGGGUCGCGUCCUAUCAGCUUGUAGGCGGGGUAAUGGCCCACCUAGGCUUCGACGGGUAGCCGGCCUGAGAGGGCGGACGGCCACAUUGGGACUGAGAUACGGCCCAGACUCCUACGGGAGGCAGCAGC
rnacentral:rRNA from 1 species